rnacentral:rRNA from 1 species
CAGCAGCCACGGUAAUACGUAGGGUGCAAGCGUUAAUCGGAAUUACUGGGCGUAAAGCGUGCGCAGGCGGUUUGUUAAGACAGAUGUGAAAUCCCCGGGCUCAACCUGGGAACUGCAUUUGUGACUGGCAGGCUAGAGUAUGGCAGAGGGGGGUGGAAUUCCGCGUGUAGCAGUGAAAUGCGUAGAUAUGCGGAGGAACACCGAUGGCGAAGGCAGCCCCCUGGGCCAAUACUGACGCUCAUGCACGAAAGCGUGGGGAGCAAACAGGAUUAGAUACCCCCGUAGUCCCUGUCUCUUAUAC